AUGAACGCUGGCGGCGUGCUUAACACAUGCAAGUCGCACGAGAACGUUUCAGCUUGCUGAAACUAGUAAAGUGGCGCACGGGUGAGUAACGCGUGGGUAAUCUACCUCCGAAUUGGGGAUAACAUUGCGAAAGCGAUGCUAAUACCGAAUGACAUCUCAAUCACUUCGGUCUUUGAGAUCAAAGGUGGCCUCUGCAUGGAAGCUACUGUUUGGAGAUGAGCCCGCGUACCAUUAGCUUGUUGGUAGGGUAAUGGCCUACCAAGGCGACGAUGGUUAGCUGGUCUGAGAGGAUGAUCAGCCACACUGGAACUGACACACGGUCCAGACUCCUACGGGAGGCAGCAGUGAGGAAUUUUGCGCAAUGGGGGAAACCCUGACGCAGCAACGCCGCGUGAGUGAUGAAGGCUCUCGGGUCGUAAAGCUCUGUCAAGUGAGAAGAACCUGCCCUUUGCUAAUAUCACUGGGCACUGACGGUAUCACUGAAGGAAGCACCGGCUAACUCCGUG
rnacentral:rRNA from 1 species